rnacentral:tRNA from 1 species
GGAAGCUAAACUUGGCCGGUGCUGGGCCUGGUCUUCAAAACCAGUGUGCGACGCCUCGCGUGGCAGGUGGGUUCGACCCCCACUAGCUUCCGCCA